rnacentral:pre_miRNA from 1 species
GUUAUACUCCCUCCGGCCGGAAAUACUUGUCAUCAAAAUGGAUGAAAAUGGAUGUAUCUAGAACUAAAAUACAUCUAGAUACACCCAUUUCAAUGACAAGUAUUUCCGGACGGAGGGAGUACUAC